UACAGAGGCCUCGAGCGUUAGGCGGAAUCACUGGGCUUAAAGCGUGUGUAGGCGGACUUCUAAGUACCUUGUGAAAUCCCACGGCUCACCCGUGGAACGGCUGGGUAUACUGGUCGUCUUGAGCCUUCUAGGGGCUGCCGGAACAAAUGGUGGAGCGGUGAAAUGCGUAGAUAUCGGGAGGAACACCAGUGGCGAAGGCGACCACCUGGGGUUGUUCUGACGCUGAGGAGCGAAAGCUAGGGGAGCAAACGGG
rnacentral:rRNA from 1 species